UACAUGGGGUGCAAACGUUGCUCGGAAUUAUUGGGCGUAAAGCGCACGUAGGCGGUUUGUUAAGUCGGAUGUGAAAGCCCUGGGCUUAACCUAGGAAGUGCAUUCGAAACUCCCGAGCUUGAGUUCUGGAGAGGAAGGCGGAAUUCUCGGUGUAGAGGUGAAAUUCGUAGAUAUCGAGAGGAACACCGGUGGCGAAGGCGGCCUUCUGGACAGUGACUGACGCUGAGACGCGAAAGCGUGGGGAGCAAACAGG
rnacentral:rRNA from 1 species